rnacentral:rRNA from 1 species
GAUGAACGCUGGCGGCGUGCCUAAUACAUGCAAGUCGAGCGAACGGACGAGAAGCUUGCUUCUCUGAUGUUAGCGGCGGACGGGUGAGUAACACGUGGAUAACCUACCUAUAAGACUGGGAUAACUUCGGGAAACCGGGGCUAAUACCGGAUAAUAUUUUGAACCGCAUGGUUCAAAAGUGAAAGACGGUCUUGCUGUCACUUAUAGAUGGAUCCGCGCUGCAUUAGCUAGUUGGUAAGGUAACGGCUUACCAAGGCAACGAUGCAUAGCCGACCUGAGAGGAUGAUCGGCCACACUGGAACUGAGACACGGUCCAGACUCCUACGGGAGGCAGCAGUAGGGAAUCUUCCGCAAUGGGCGAAAGCCUGACGGAGCAACGCCGCGUGAGUGAUGAAGGUCUUCGGAUCGUAAAACUCUGUUAUUAGGGAAGAACAUAUGUGUAAGUAACUGUGCACAUCUUGACGGUACCUAAUCAGAAAGCCACGGCUAACUACGUG